GUUAGCCAGAAAUGUAAACCUGAUUUUAGAUAGUAUUUAAAUGAGAUUAAUAACUCCAGCUACUUGCAGGCCUACAGUCCUGUAUAUUUCAAUCUAAAUUGUGAUGCAGCCUGAAUCAUAAUCACACCAUGUUCAUUUGUUAGCCAGAGGGAAACUGAUUCCUGAACUAAACAUAUUUUCUCCCACUCUUUUUUCACGUGAUGGUGUUUGUGUUCCUUGCCACUGUUGACUUUUGGCUUGCUUAUUUGUGAACCCAUAAUAUUCAGCAAUAUUAUUGAUCUGACUCCACUGACACUAUUGGAUAAGGACUGAACUUAGCUAGAUGUUGACACCACUGUUUUUCUAGAUGAGUCAACACUGAUUUCAACUGAACACUGACACUUUUUACUGUUUAGAGCUGCUUCACAGCAGAAGUGAAUUCUGUUUGCAUCAUUAUUUUUCUUUUUAUCACUGUUAAGUUAUUAAAAAUAUAUCUGACAAUAUACUGGAUAUAUACAAAAAUAGAAUAAAUCAGGAUUUUUUUUUCAGCACUGUAAACCAGUAUUUAUGUUCAGUAGUGUGACAUUAAUGUGUGUAAAUUGACAUUUUUUUAGUGUGUGAUUGCUAUUUUCAGGAAAAUGCACUAUUAACAGCUAAAAAAAGAAGACCAAAAAUAUAAUUCAACAGAAGAUGAUGGCUGUGGUGAAACAAGUAACUCAAAUAACGGAACUAAGACCUGUGGGAGUGCUGGAGAAAUCAAGUGGACCAAGUCCUCUGUCUCCUCAGCCAUGUAAGAGAUUGAGGAGUUAAAUGAAAUCAAAGAGCUAAAAGAAGAUUUACAAUAUUAGUGCCAAUUCAGUAUGAAAACAGAGAGAGAGCUGAGGGAGUGGAAAGAAAUGCAUGUUAUUGUCCAAGGGGUAGUGGCAUGGACUAUCAGUGGAGAGUCAGAAAGCUCUGAGAUUUCAUUAUAAAGAUCUUCUUUUGUGUUCUGAAGAUGAACGAAAGAUUUGCGAGUUUGGAACAACAUGAGGACUACAUCCAAAAUAGUGUUUCCACAUCUGAGAUAAAGGCAGUCAUAAGAACCAAGCAAAACGAUGAGGAUAAGUUCUUCAAAAAAUGAAACCUGCCUGAAUAAUGAGGGAAGAAAUGUGCAUGAUUGCGUGAUUUGUAAAUAAACACUAAGUACAUUUAGUUUAACUCUCAGCCUGUUGUUUUAAGUUUAAAGAAAAGUAAAAUCAUUUAUUGUUGCAUUGCUGUUUAAGACAUUCAUUUUUUUUCAUUAUAUUGCAGUUGUGUGCAAAUAAAACUUGUUAUUCAGAAUUUUCUGGUUGCAUUUCAGUGUUACUGUACAGCAUUUUAUUAGUAUUGCACUUCAGUUGUAUUGAAUUUUACUUCAGUUGUAUUAUAUAUUGCAGUACUACUGCAAAACUAUUGCAGUAUAAUUGUAGUACUACUUCAGCUGUAUUACAGUAAUACCGCAGUUCUAUUGCAGUUGUUUGUUAGUAAUACUACAGCUCUAUUGUAGUUGUAUGUCAAUAGUACUU